GAUGAACGCUGGCGGCGUGCCUAAUACAUGCAAGUCGAGCGAACAGACGAGGAGCUUGCUCCUCUGACGUUAGCGGCGGACGGGUGAGUAACACGUGGAUAACCUACCUAUAAGACUGGGAUAACUUCGGGAAACCGGAGCUAAUACCGGAUAAUAUAUUGAACCGCAUGGUUCAAUAGUUAAAUACGGUUUUUCUGUCUCUUAUAGAUGGAUCCGCUCCGCAUUAUCUAGUUGGUAAGGUAACGGCUUACCAAGGCAACGAUGCGUAGCCGAGCUGAGAGGGUGAUCGGCCACACUGGAACUGAGACACGGUCCAGACUCCUACGGGAGGCAGCAGUAGGGAAUCUUCCGCAAUGGGCGAAAGCAUGACGGAGCAACGCCGCGUGAGUGAUGAAGGUCUUCGGAUCGUAAAACUCUGUUAUUAGGGAAGAAAAAAUGUGUAAGUAACUAUGCACGUCUUGACGGUACCUAAUCAGAAAGCCACGGCUAACUACGUG
rnacentral:rRNA from 1 species